rnacentral:rRNA from 1 species
UACAGAGGUCCCGAGCGUUGUUCGGAUUCACUGGGCGUAAAGCGCACGUAAGCGGCUUUGUAAGUUAGAGGUGAAAGCCCAGAGCUCAACUCUGGAAUAGCCUUUAAGACUGCAUCGCUUGAAUCCAGGAGAGGUGAGUGGAAUUCCGAGUGUAGAGGUGAAAUUCGUAGAUAUUCGGAAGAACACCAGUGGCGAAGGCGGCUCACUGGUCCGGUACUGACGCUGAGGUGGCGAAAGCGUGGGAG